UUUGAUGGCGACCGGCGCACGGGUGAGUAACACGUAUCCAACCUGCCGAUGACUCGGGGAUAGCCUUUCGAAAGAAAGAUUAAUACCCGAUGGCAUAGUUCCUUCCGCAUGGUGGAACUAUUAAAGAAUUUCGGUCAUCGAUGGGGAUGCGUUCCAUUAGGUUGUUGGCGGGGUAACGGCCCACCAAGCCUUCGAUGGAUAGGGGUUCUGAGAGGAAGGUCCCCCACAUUGGAACUGAGACACGGUCCAAACUCCUACGGGAGGCAGCAUG
rnacentral:rRNA from 1 species